CACACAUUAUCAGACUAGACCUAAGCGAUAUAAGCGGAGAACUUUAGACAAGAGCAAAACGGCGCACCCUCAGCCGAGUUCUUCUUCUUCAUUUUUCUCCAAUCCACAACAAAAAAAAAAUGAGACUCCCCUCCCAAAUUCACAUCGAAUGAGACAAGAUUAAGCACUCACCAUCGGACCGAACUUUUGGUCCUUCGAAAGGCCAAGCCAAAUAAAAAAUGGAAAAACAGAACAAAAAGAAAAAUUGAAUGUUAAGAUUGCUUCAAUCUCUGCUCAUUUUGAUAUAUGUCGUGAGGAUUUCAAGGCUCUUUUGAUUCUAAAGAUUAUGCCUCCUUGCUAUAUUGCUGCUGUUCAAGUUUGUUGGGCUUCUUCACUUUAUCUUAGCCUUUAUUUGGCUAUUCAAGCUUGUAUUUGCUGAUGUUUAGAGGUUUUUACCGUGAGGCACAAAGUUUGAUAUGACCAAAUGAAGAAAUCUCAAUCCACAUAAAAGAAAAUAAUUGAACUCUAAGUGUAGAAGCGAAGAAAAAAUGUGGACUGCUCAAGAUUUGAUUGAAGUCACAAGCUUUGCAUGUCCCGCCUUGAUCCGAGAA